rnacentral:lncRNA from 1 species
CAUUGUGAAUUUAACCCAUGCCUAACAUUUCCUGUCCUCUAGUGACUCUCAGGUCCCAAAGCAACUUAGAGGGCCCCAAGGAGAUUCUAACAGGCAAGCAGAGCCCCUCGAUGCUGAGGCUCCCAAGGCAGGCAAGCCUUUAUCAGCAGCUCCUGGGUUUGACCUUCAGACUCAGCCACUGGAUUCCAGCGUUGACAUCCUAGCAUCAGAAGAACAUUUGAAGCUUGUAUGAGUGAGCCAUUGAUCUGUGCUCCCACACUUGCGGGCUUGCUUGCUUGCUUAUCUGUCUAUGCUAGCUGGAAUAUGAGAGUCAGAUGAACAAGAGAAGAGGUGGGGCGUCAGAGUCGGGAGAUCAAAACUGAGUGACGGACAGUGUAGCAGGCCUCUGGGAGAGGAGGAGUUUUGCAGUGAAAGGGAGAGCUGAAGAUACUGAGGGGUGAAGAGCGCUUGCUGCCCUGCCUGAAGAGCCAACUCAGGUUCUCAGCAUCCAUAUCAGGUGGCUCACAAAAGCUCCAGGCUGGGGGCACUCACAUUCAACACACACACACACACACACACACACACACACGUGUGGUG